rnacentral:lncRNA from 1 species
GCCGGAAAUAUGGUAACCGAACGGCUCCUAAAUCGUUUUCGAUCUGAUUUUGAAUUUGGUGUUCCGAAUUUUGAGCCGAAUUCAAAUUUGAUAAAAAAAUACGAAUUCGAUCGAAUUAAAUCCCAUCAAUCUCGCUGCCGGUGAUCUCGAUCCAUAAUCCCUCUUUUUCUAGCAAACCAUAAUCCUCUCUUUCUAAUGACCCAAAUGGAAGCUGCUAACAAUUUGAGAUCCACCAGACCACUACGGCUUUUUUUUUUUGAGAGGCAACCAGCCCAGCGCCCUUAGCUAGAACAUGGAUAUCGAUCGAGAUGGGAGUAUGGAUUCGGAUCAGGCAUGGAGGUGUUCGAUUUUGAAUGUUUGAACGGAUGGUUUACGCAGGUAGCCAAUGCCUAGCAAGGUUUCAUCUACUUCUGAAUUUUUAACUCGUUUUUGUUUUUUCUGAUUCCGAUAGAAGUAUGAUCUCGUCCUACCCCUACUUGCUCCUUCAAUUACGAUAUUGCUGACACAUGAUAUUGGUAAGAAGAUUUUAUCGUGGGUUUGUGAAUCUGGUACCAAACAAGAUCUUAGACUUAACAAUGAUAGUUUUUAUUUUUCACUAUAUAUAUUUUACCAAUAACUUUAGGGAAGAUUUAGUGAUAAUGACUAAAAUUACCCCAUACAUGCACCCUGUAAGGUCGAAGUCCGUGUGCAUACAAGAAAGUUGCAUGGGCUACUUCCACUAUUUAUGGGGCAGUUAUGUACCUUAGGGGGUGUUUAGUUGGGAUUGUUAAAAUUUAACAAGUACUGUAUUAUUUUUGUUUUAUUUGAUAAUUAGUGUCUAAUCAUGGACUAAUUAGGCUCAAAAAAUUCAUCUCGCAAAUUACACUCAAGCCAUGUUUUUAAUUUAUAAAUAGUCUACAUUUAGUAUUUCAUGCAUGUGUCCAAACAUUCGAUGUGACGGAUGGUAAACUUUACCGUCCGUAACCCCUUAACCACUGAGAUGGAG